AUUUUUUUGCUUCAUAUCAUGUAUAUGUAUGUAUAUAUAUGCGUAUGUGGUUUCCAUUUAAUGUUUUAUAUUUUUUCACAUAUCAUGUCAUAUAUAAUACAAUACAAUAUAAUAUAUAUAUAUAUAUAUAUAUAUAUUUUUUUUUUUUUUUUUUUUUAGACUCAUUAGAAAUAUACAACAAUUUUUCUGAAGAUGAUAAGAUCGACUUAAAUGAUACCAUAAGACAAUACAUAACAUUUACGAGUAAUGAUUUAUGUGCAACGAUAUUGAACGACGAUAUUUAUAUAAACCACAUAUGUAUAACGCCUAAAAGUGACUUGGCAAAUGGUUUUUUAUUUUACACAAAUGAUAAUGAUUUAAAUGUUUUUCGAUUAUACAAAAAUGAAGAAGAAUGUUUGAAAAAUUUAAAAUAUGCUAUACAGUUAAAAUAUGAAGACGUUAAAAAUAUAACCAACAACAGUAGUUACAAUAACAGUAGUAACAACAAAAAUAAAAUUGAAAACACGGAAGAUGUGGCAUAUGAUGAUAAAUUUAUUGAAUUUAAUCGAGUCAUAAAUAAUAUAUUUAAAAGUAAUAUAAGUAAUAAAGAAUCAUUAAGUUUAGAUGAUUUAUAUAAAAAUGUGUAUUUACAAAAGGAAUAUAAUAAUUUAUUAAAAGUAAAAAUAGAUAAACAACUGUUAAAGGAAAUUAAAAAAACAAAUUUAUAUAAAACUUUUAUUAAAACUAUUAAAAAUUUAAAAAAGGAAAGUUAUUAUAAAAAAUUUAUAAAAAAUGAUAAAAACAAACUAUUUUUUAUUCAUUUUGUAAAAAACAAUUUAAUAGAAACAAAUUAUUCUUGUGGUCUAUUGGGAAUAGAAAAUAUUAGUUAUUUAAAAAAAAAGGAAAAAAAGAAAAAAAAAAUAGGCUUUCCAUAUAUUUUGAAUAUAAAUCAAAAGGUAGGUUUAGAUAAUUCGGAGGUGCAUGAUCGUAGCGGGACAAGUGGAACAAGCGGAACAAACAACACUGAGUAUGUUAGUAUAAAUGACAAUAGUCAUAGUAGCGAAAGUUAUAAUAUGAAUGUGACAAAUAAUCAAGCAAACAACCAAUUGAUAAGGAUUAACAAGAGUAGCAGCAGUCUAAAAAAUAGCAGUCAAAAUGUUACGCUACCAUUAAAUAAAAACGAAGUGAUAGAUAAAAACGAAGUGAUAGAUAAAAACGAAGUGAUAGAUAAGGUGAUUUACAAAAUAAGAGUAGGAGACUAUGCUUUAUUAAAUUCGAGCGAUAAAUAUUUUUUUAACGAUAUAAAUAUUAAUCUGAAACAGAAUUUUAUUAACUUUAACACAAUCGAUGAUUUAUCUUUUCAUAUUUAUUUUAAUGAGUGGUACCAAAGUAGUUUUUUUAUAGUAAUAGAAUAUCACUUUAAUUUAUUUAUACUAAAAUAUAAUAAUAUGUUGUUUAACGAACAGAAGGGCUUGAAACGAUAUAACGGUUUGAAGUUAUCCCCACAUAGGCAAAACAAGUUCGAUAUUAACGAAAGUAAUUAUGGAAUUACAAAAGUUAAAGAAGUAACAAACGAGACAAAAAAAGUAUUUUUGAAAGAUUUUUUUUUAUUUAAUAUGCCUAUGAAAAGUAUGGAAAUAAACGCAUUUGAUACUUUUGAAAAGAAUAUUUUUCGGGUUAUUAUAUUUUUAUGUAUUUCUUUAUUUAUAAUAAAUAUAAGCUUCGAUAUAAACAAAGAGCGGAAAAUAAAUUUAGAAAGUUUUUUAUUUUGUAUUCGAGUGAAUAAGUAUUAUUAUUAUUAUUCAUGGCUUUUUUUUUAUUUUUUUGUUUUAUUUUUGUAUAACAUUUUAUUUACAUAUGCUAUUUAUAUGUUUAUAUAUAAAGCGUUAAUAGAUUAUUUUAUUUUAUUUUUAAUAAUUUAUUUGUUUAUUAUUAAUAGUUUAGUAUUUACAAUAAUAUGUAUGCAUGUAUCUAACAAUAGUGCAGUAAAUUAUAUUUUGUCCUUUUUAUUAUUUUUUGUUUUUUCAUCCUUUCGUUUAGUUAUACAUACAGGGGCAGGUAAGUUAUUGGAGAUGUUAGUCUUUUUAAUACCACAAACCCCUUUUUGUUUAUCAUUAGAUUUUAUUUUUAUUUUUAUUAAAAAUAAUAUAAAGGUAAAUUGGGGGGAAAUGUUUAUAACAAUAAAUAAUAUAUCUUUGUUUCAUCUUAUGUGUUAUUCCGCUAUUUCGUUUGUAAUUUUAAAUAUUAUUUUAUUGUUUAUUAUAUAUUAUAAAAGCAAGAAUGUUGGGGAUUUAUAUGUUCCUCUAAACAGUAGGCAAGAAAUUGUUAAUACCGAUUUAGGAGAAAAACCUUCGUUGUAUGUAUCGAAAUUUAAAAAUAAACAUCCAAAAAGCGAUAUUAAUAACUAUUUAAUUAAUAAUCCAAAUAAACGAGUUAAAAAAGACAUAUACAAUAGCAGUAAUAAUAAAUAUCGUAAUAAAAGUAUCACGACGAAUGCAUCUAAUAACUGUAUCAUAAAAAUGAAAAAUAAUUUGAGAACUGGUAAGGAGUUAAAAACAAAAAAAAAUACAACAAAACAUAGUAAAAAUUAUAGCUGUUAUUUGUAUAUUCGCAAUGUUAAUAAAUUUUAUGAAAAAAAACAAAUACUUAAAAAUGUUUCAUUAGAUGUAAAAACAGAUCGAAUAUUUGUUUUGUUGGGAGAAAAUGGAUCAGGUAAAUCAACAAUUAUUAAUAUAAUUACAGGUAUGAUUACUAAAGAUAGUGGAGAAAUAAGUUUUUUUAAAACUCAUACGAAAAAAAGGGAUGAUGACUGUCAGACAAAUAAAAAUAAGUCUAAAAAAAAAAGGGGGUGGAGAUAGGUACAUAAGUAUAAAACAUGAUAAUAAUUGUAGUAGCUGUUGUAGUUGUUGUUGUAGUUGUUGUUGUAGUUGUUGUUGUAGUACACGUAGUAGUAACUGCAAUAGUAACUGCAAUAGUAACUGCAAUAGUAACUGCAAUAGUAACUGCAAUAGUAACUGCAAUAGUAAACAAUGUAAUAGUAUUUGUUAUGGUAAGCAUAAAUAUAUAGCACAAUCUUUUUGUACAAAUAAAAAGAAUAAAAUAAAAAAUCA
ensembl:lncRNA